UACGUAGGGUGCAAGCGUUAAUCGGAAUUACUGGGCGUAAAGCGUGCGCAGGCGGUUAUGUAAGACAGAUGUGAAAUGCCCGGGCUUAACCUGGGAACUGCAUUUGUGACUGCAUGGCUAGAGUUUGGCAGAGGGGGUAGAAUCCACGUGUAGCAGUGAAAUGCGUAGAUAUCAGGAGGAACACCGGUGGCGAAGGCGGUUCUCUGGGCAUUACCUGACGGCUGAGGAGCGAAAGUGUGGGACGCGAACAGG
rnacentral:rRNA from 1 species